GACGAACGCUGGCGGCGUGCUUAACACAUGCAAGUCGAACGAAGUGGCGAACGGGUGAGUAACGCGUAAUCAACCUGCCCUUCAGAGGGGGACAACAGUUGGAAACGACUGCUAAUACCGCAUACUGAAGGAGGGGAUUGCGUGUGAUUGGCUAGUUGGGGGGGUAACGGCCCACCAAGGCGAUGAUAAGUAGCCGGUCUGAGAGGGUGAACGGCCACAUUGGGACUGAGACCCGGCCCAGACUCCUACGGGAGGCAGCAGUUGGGAAUCUUCCGCAAUGGACGAAAGUCUGACGGAGCAACGCCGCGUGGUUGAUGACGGCCUUUGGGUUGUAAAGCUCUGUUAAUCGGGACGCGGUACCGGAAUAGAAAGCCACGGCUAACUACGUGCCAGCAGCCGCGGUAAUAC
rnacentral:rRNA from 1 species